CCAGGCGGCAGCUACCAUGCAGUCGAGCGGUAACAUAUAGACUUGCUACUUUGGUGACGAGCGGCGGACGGGUGAGUAAUGCUUGAGAACAUGUCUUGAGGUGGGGGACAACAGUUGGAAACCAGUGCUAAUACCGUAUAGUGUCUACGGACCAAGGGGGGUUUCCGCUCUCCUUUUUAUAUUGGCCCAAGUGGGAUUAUCUAUUUGGUGAGGUAGUGGCUCACCAGGGAGAAUAUCCCUAUGUGGUUUGAGAGGAUGAUCACCCACUGUGGGACUGACACAGGGCCCACACUUCUACGGGAGGCAGCAGUGGGGAAUAUUGCACUGUGGGCGAAAGUGUGAUGCACCUGUGCCGCGUGUGUGAAGAGGGUCUUCGGGUUGUAAAGCUCUUUCAGUCGAGAAGAAAGGUUAAUAUUUAAUACGUGAUAUCUGUGAUGUUACUGACAAAAAAAACACGGGCUAUCUGCGUGCCAGCACCCGCGGUAAUACAGAGGGUGAGAGCGUUAAUCAAAUUUACUGGGCGUAAAGCGCACGCGCGCGGUUUGUUAAGCGAUAUGUGAAAGCCCCGGUCUCCACCUGGAAACUGUAUUUCAAAGUGGAAAACUAGAGUGUGAUAGAGGGUGGUAGAAUUUCGUGUGUAGCGGUGAAAUGUAUAGAUAUCUGAAAGAAUACCUAUGGCGAACGCACCCCCCUGUCCCCACUCUGACUCUCGUGUACGAGAGUGUGGAGAGCACACAAGAUUAUAUACUCUUGAUACAC
rnacentral:rRNA from 1 species